rnacentral:rRNA from 1 species
UACGUAGGGGGCAAGCGUUGUCCGGAUUCAUUGGGCGUAAAGAGCGUGUAGGCGGCCAGGUAGGUCGGUUGUGAAAACUGGAGGCUCAACCUUCAGAGGUCGACCGAAACCAUCUGGCUAGAGUCCGGGAGAGGAGAGUGGAAUUCCUGGUGUAGCGGUGAAAUGCGUAGAUAUCUGGAGGAACACCGGUGGCGAAGGCGGCAUCCUGGACCAAUUCUGACGCUGAGGAGCGAAAGCCAGGGGAGCAAACGGG